GACAGAGGGUGCAAACGUUGUUCGGAAUUACUGGGCGUAAAGCGUGUGUAGGCGGCCGCGUAAGUCGGAUGUGAAAGCCCUGGGCUCAACCCAGGAAGUGCACUCGAUACUGCGUGGCUCGAGUACUGGAGAGGUUGGUGGAAUUCUCGGUGUAGAGGUGAAAUGCGCAGAUAUCAGGAGGAACACCGAUGGCGAAGGCAGCUCGCUGGGACGGUACUGACGCUGAGACGCGAAAGCGUGGGGAGCAAACAGG
rnacentral:rRNA from 1 species